UACGUAGGUGGCAAGCGUUAUCCGGAAUUAUUGGGCGUAAAGCGCGCGUAGGCGGUUUCUUAAGUCUGAUGUGAAAGCCCACGGCUCAACCGUGGAGGGUCAUUGGAAACUGGGAAACUUGAGUGCAGAAGAGGAAAGUGGAAUUCCAUGUGUAGCGGUGAAAUGCGCAGAGAUAUGGAGGAACACCAGUGGCGAAGGCGGCUUUCUGGUCUGUAACUGACGCUGAUGUGCGAAAGCGUGGGGAUCAAACAGG
rnacentral:rRNA from 1 species